rnacentral:rRNA from 1 species
UACGUAGGGUGCAAGCGUUGUCCGGAAUUAUUGGGCGUAAAGAGCUCGUAGGCGGUUUGUCGCGUCUGGUGUGAAAAUCCAGGGCUUAACCCUGGACCUGCAUCGGGUACGGGCAGACUAGAGUGCGGUAGGGGAGAUCGGAAUUCCUGGUGUAGCGGUGAAAUGCGUAGAUAUCAGGAGGAACACCUGCGGUGUAGACGGCUUACUGGACCAUCACUGACGCUGAGGCACGAAAGCGUGGGUAGCAAACAGG